ACUCUAGCCUUUCCAGCAAUCCUUCAGGCCUUCAGCACCAGACUGGAACAACUGAGGAAUUCUGCUGCAUGUACUGAACAACCGCCAGGUUCUCUGCCUCUCCUUUGUGAGACAGCCAUUGUCAAAGGAUCCAGACCACACCAUACUCCUGCUGAUGGUGAAAUAAGGUUGGCACCUUCCUGAAAGACACAGCAGUCCACAUAUAAGUUUCUGAAGAUUCUUCCUAUCUGGGCACCCGAAGGAAAGAGCCAUGAUCACAACAAUCAUAAUCCCCUUCAAGCUCCAUAAGACAGCGGAUGCAGCUGUGACCACAGUCAAGUUUGUUGUGACCAUGAAUAUAUAAAUAAGCCUUAACCCCAGAACUCUGCCACUUCCCAGAAACGAGGUAUUGUGGUCACAACAGUACAAAAUUAACCAAUAUGUGUGGCUCCUGCGUGUAGCUCGGGCUUCUCAGAGCACGUCAACUUGGCCAUGAGAUCACAAUGUGAGCUCUCAGCUUGUGUUCCUGCCACCAUAGUUUCAAGCCACCGUCAUGGACUCUCAUCCUCCAGAACUAAGCCUGCCUACUGCUUUCUGGUGCCGUGAAAGCUAGCCAGCAUGGAGAAAACUUCUUGAUAUGAACCAGCUUGAUGUCUCCACAUCCUGUGAGCCAAGUGUGUGGUGUCUUCAGCAAUAAGGUCCCAUUAAGAAGUUCUGGCAGCAACCAAGAACAAUAGAAACAGCAUAUAUUUUCUGAGGGGUCUCUAGGGAGAGGCACCCCACAUCUGGUAUUGGACCUUUUAUUUGGCAUUAUAUAUUUUCUGGGGAGAGCAUUAUCCCUGUGAAGGUUAACUCCAAUUAAAAUUUUUAUGUGAAUAUAUA